rnacentral:sRNA from 1 species
AUGCCCCACCCGGCGCUUAUCUCCGGCACUCUUAAUGGCUUAGCUCUUGAAGGGGCGAAGUCAUCAU